rnacentral:lncRNA from 1 species
GGGUUACGUAAACCUAUAUGAAUGGGUGACAAUGAAAGGGCAAGUCUUCAUUAAGUAGGAGGACCAUGUUUUAAAAAGGCAACAACUUUGCCCCAGACAAAUAGAAUGAUUGACUAUGGGACAAGAUGGACAAACUAAAAUGAAUCACCGAACAAUGUUAAAUCAGUGACAAAAACAAGAGACAAAUAAACCCAUUCAUUUACUUCAUCCUGGGGCUGCUUUAGAUUUAGGCCUUUGAUGUGGUUUAUGCAGCCUCACACGUAUAGUAUACGGAGACAGUGGCAGGCAUGAAGGGUUCUGGAGCUGGACCCACAAUAUCUUCAAGUUCUGAAAGCUGAGAAGUACAAUGUCAAGGGACUACAUCAGGUGCAGAACCCUCAUGAUCCAAUCUCCUAUUAAGGGCCCCACUUCUC